CACCUGAGUAAAUGAGUCAGUACUCAUUUUUUUUCUUCUUUUCUUUUCUUCUUCUUUUCCCUUCUCUCUCCCCGAAACCCCUUCUUCUUCUCCCUUUUUCUUUUCUUUUCUUUCCUUCGUUUUCUCUCCAAACCAGUCACGGCCACAACCAGUUGGACCACCGCUGGAGCACCAUUUCCGACACGCGCCAGAGCUGCAGCUUCCCUGACCGGCGAUGACGGAAACCCCAAAUUUUGGUGGCCAUCGGAGGAAGGACGCGCCUAUACAGCCACUUCGAAGUUUCGCCGUCGAAACUUUGAGGUGACUUUCCGGCGAACUCUGACCAUCGUUCGGCGAGUGGGUGGUACCGUUGGAAUCAGCAUCAUGAGAGGAUCGUCGCCCACUAAGUCAUUCCGGUCAACUCACCAUUUUUCUCCGGCGAGAUUUUGGGUAUCUUCGUCCCUUUGGAAGCAUUUUCCGGCGACACCGGAGGUCAUUUGGGCGAAGGAGCUGUACUUUCGUGAUGUACUCAUCGGGAUGAUCGUUUUGAUAUAUGCCAUGCAUAUAUUCGUUGAUGUUUCCGGUACCGCCACCAACCACUAUUGUGCACCGCUUUGGUGAAGUUCCGAAACUUGAAAUUUUAAAUAUGGUCAUAUUAUAUGUCAUUGGACACGAUUUUGAAUAAGGAAUGCUAUGAUGAUAAUCGUUUGCUCAUUUGGUGCACGUAGGAAAAACGUGAUAUUAAAAUCGGACUAAAUCAUUCUAAUAUCAUCGAUAAGCUUAGGAGCGUUGCUUUGGGCUCGGAUUAAAUUCUAAGGAGGUAUCUAAAGAGGAGCCUAGUGACGCGAACGUGGAAAUGAUGAAUUAUCGAUGGAGCCAAUGUGUUUAGCCUAUUUCUAUUUCGGGUCAUUGUCUUAUCUUUUGAGCAUUAUAUAUGUAUUCGACUUCGAAUCUAAUGAUCAGUAUAUCUGAAUGAGCUAUGAAAUAGUUAGGGAUGAGGAAUGGUGGAUGCUAAGUAUUAUUUUGAGUGUUUAUGACUUAUUAAAUUUAACUAUUUGGUGAUUACAUAA